rnacentral:rRNA from 1 species
UGCUCCUUGGGUGACGAGUGGCGGACGGGUGAGUAAUGUCUGGGGAUCUGCCCGAUAGAGGGGGAUAACCACUGGAAACGGUGGCUAAUACCGCAUAACGUCGCAAGACCAAAGAGGGGGACCUUCGGGCCUCUCACUAUCGGAUGAACCCAGAUGGGAUUAGCUAGUAGGCGGGGUAAUGGCCCACCUAGGCGACGAUCCCUAGCUGGUCUGAGAGGAUGACCAGCCACACUGGAACUGAGACACGGUCCAGACUCCUACGGGAGGCAGCAGUGGGGAAUAUUGCACAAUGGGCGCAAGCCUGAUGCAGCCAUGCCGCGUGUAUGAAGAAGGCCUUCGGGUUGUAAAGUACUUUCAGCGGGGAGGAAGGCGGUGAGGUUAAUAACCUUGCCGAUUGACGUUACCCGCAGAAGAAGCACCGGCUAACUCCGUGCCAGCAGCCGCGGUAAUACGGAGGGUGCAAGCGUUAAUCGGAAUUACUGGGCGUAAAGCGCACGCAGGCGGUCUGUUAAGUCAGAUGUGAAAUCCCCGGGCUUAACCUGGGAACUGCAUUUGAAACUGGCAGGCUUGAGUCUCGUAGAGGGGGGUAGAAUUCCAGGUGUAGCGGUGAAAUGCGUAGAGAUCUGGAGGAAUACCGGUGGCGAAGGCGGCCCCCUGGACGAAGACUGACGCUCAUGUGCGAAAGCGUGG